ACGUAGGGUGCGAGCGUUAAUCGGAAUUACUGGGCGUAAAGUGUGCGCAGGCGGCCGAGCAAGUCGAGUGUGAAAUCCCCGGGCUCAACCUGGGAAUGGCGAUGGAUACUGGCGAGCUAGAGUGUGUCAGAGGAUGGUGGAAUUCCCGGUGUAGCGGUGAAAUGCGUAGAGAUCGGGAGGAACAUCAGUGGCGAAGGCGGCCAUCUGGGACAACACUGACGCUGAAGCACGAAAGCGUGGGGAGCAAACAGGA
rnacentral:rRNA from 1 species